rnacentral:rRNA from 1 species
GACGAACGCUGGCGGCGUGCCUAAUACAUGCCAGUUGAGCGCUGAAGGUUGGUACUUGUACCAACUGGAUGAGCAGCGAACGGGUGAGUAACGCGUGGGGAAUCUGCCUUUGAGCGGGGGACAACAUUUGGAAACGAAUGCUAAUACCGCAUAAAAACUUUAAACACAAGUUUUAAGUUUGAAAGAUGCAAUUGCAUCACUCAAAGAUGAUCCCGCGUUGUAUUAGCUAGUUGGUGAGGUAAAGGCUCACCAAGGCGAUGAUACAUAGCCGACCUGAGAGGGUGAUCGGCCACAUUGGGACUGAGACACGGCCCAAACUCCUACGGGAGGCAGCAGUAGGGAAUCUUCGGCAAUGGACGAAAGUCUGACCGAGAAACGCCGCGUGAGUGAAGAAGGUUUUCGGAUCGUAAAACUCUGUUGGUAGAGAAGAACGUUGGUGAGAGUGGAAAGCUCAUCAAGUGACGGUAACUACCCAGAAAGGGACGGCUAACUACGUG